rfam:Methanomassiliicoccales archaeon RumEn M2 contig00001, whole genome shotgun sequence.
UGUCGGGCUUGACCGGGAUGUUUGGCGUAUCCUGCUAUCCGAAACCGUCAAUACGCGGAGGUGACAGCAGGGGGCGGCGUACAUGGAAGUCGCAGGCCCGCAGAGUUACCUAUGAAACUCUGUCUUGCGGGAUCAGUGUGCGCAUCGAGGGCAGCCGGAGGGUCGCCUUCCGUGCGCUAAUCGGGGGGAACGGGCCAGGCCCUGACGGGAGCAGUCUGACCCUGAGCUACUGAAGUUCGCAAGGUAGCGGGGUUGAGGAACGAUGCGGUAAACCUACGUCGGAAGUGGCGACAACCUCUGUGGCCCGGCA